ACAAUUGUUCAACUCUUUAGGCAGCUUUUGAUCGAAUAUGUGAGAGUAAUAACACUACUCUGUCUACCUGCAAUACCUUCCUGUAUAGAAUGUAUCUUUGUAAGCUAACUCUUUCAACCAGGUGUCUAUUCUUCACAACCAAUGUCAGUACAACUGUGUAACUCAUCAGUAUAGGAGAAAGAAAAUAAAAAACCACAUUGCAAUUAUCAAGGAUAGAAAUGUGAUUUCUGUAGAGAACUUUACUGACUUUAUACAUAUAAAUGUGAGUCUGAAAACAUGUCUGCACAAUGACAAGUAUGGUACACAGAUUUUUAUUGAAAUGUUGAGCAAAACUAUUUUCAUUCUAAAUUAUAAGUACCAAUUUGCACAUUAUAAUAUAGAAAUCCAUUUUGUAUAUAUUUAACAUAUGUUUAAGGCUGUUUUACAUCUACUACCUUCUUUAUGAAGGUUUGUAAAUCUUUGCAAAAGCAAUUAGACAUGUUUUAAAAUCAAUAACAGUCUUUGUUUGACUUAACAAAUAAUGCCUUUGUAAGAAACAUUUAAUAUAGAAUGUAUUUUUAAAUCAAGACAUUUGAAUAUGAAAUAGCUCAAAGAAAAACAAAUUCUUCAUGAACACAUUUUAUGUUGUUUCUGGCUUUGAUUAUAUAAAAGGUGAAAUUGCCUUAAAGACAGAAGCUUGGUAAAUAUGACAAUUUCACGUACUAUACUAUGAAUCUCCUUGCAUAACUGGUUGACUACUAACUUCUCUUUUAUGUAUUUAUUAAAAGCUGACACUGUAGAUUGUUGUGAGAUGUUUAUUUUUCUAACAGAGCUUAUAACUGUUGUGACACAGCAUUUAAUUGAUAUACCAGUCUGUUUAAAUGUAGGUGUUAAUCUAUAUAAAAUUCUAUGUUUUAAAAUAAAACUUUAAAGAUCUAAUAAAAACAUAAAG
rnacentral:lncRNA from 1 species